rnacentral:rRNA from 1 species
AAUCAACGCUGGCGGCGUGCCUAACACAUGCAAGUCGCACGAGAAAGGGUCUUCGGAUCUGAGUAAAGUGGCGCACGGGUGAGUAACACGUGAAUUAUCUACCUUCGAGUGGGGAAUAACUUCGGGAAACCGAGGCUAAUACCGCAUAAUAUCUACGGAUCAAAGCAGUAAUGCGCUUGAAGAGGAGUUCGCAGCAGAUUAGUUAGUUGGCGGGGUAAUGGCCCACCAAGACGAUGAUCUGUAUCCGGCCUGAGAGGGCGCACGGACACACUGGAACUGAAACACGGUCCAGACUCCUACGGGAGGCAGCAGUGGGGAAUUUUGCGCAAUGGGGGAAACCCUGACGCAGCAACGCCGCGUGGAGGAUGAAGUCUCUUGGGACGUAAACUCCUUUCGAUAGGGAAGAUUAUGACGGUACCUAUAGAAGAAGCCCCGGCUAACUUCGUGCCAGCAGCCGCGGUAA